UGAGCUCCCUUCUGCGAAUCCAAGCCAAAGCGACCAACACAGACAUCGAGACGGGUGACAUCGGGAGCCUGUGUGAGGGGCUGCAUGCCUGCAGCAUCGCCUCUCAGCUCCAGACCACGUCCAAAAUGGCAAGAAUCGUGUGCAGAAACUUCCCCCUAGAACGCACCGUUGACUUCAUGACUGCCAUCAAGGAGACGAUCCGGAAAGCCAACGGAGUGCGUGUGCGUGCGUGUGGGAAGUGGAUGACCACCUUCCUGCAGAUGCACGGGAAGGACAUCAGUUG